rnacentral:antisense_RNA from 1 species
GUGGGAGCUGGCUUGCCAGCGAUUGGAUCAACGCGGUCUGUCUGACACACCGAGCCGCCUGAAUCGCUGGCAAGCCAGCUCCCAC